rnacentral:rRNA from 1 species
AAUUUUGGACAAUGGGGGCAACCCUGAUCCAGCCAUCCCGCGUGUGCGAUGAAGGACUUAGGGUUGUCCCGCACUUUUGGCAGGGAAAAAAAGGCGCGGGCUAAUACCCGGCGCCGCUGAUGGUACCUGGAGAAUAAGCACCGGCUAACUACGUGCCAGCAGCCGCGGUAAUACGUAGGGUGCAAGCGUUAAUCGGAAUUACUGGGCGUAAAGCGUGCGCAGGCGGUUCGGCAAGAAGGAUGUGAAAUCCUGGGGCUUAACCUCGGAACUGCAUUCUUAACUGCCGGGCUAGAGUAUGUCAGAGGGGGUAGAAUUCCACGUGUAGCAGUGAAAUGCGUAGAGAUGUGGAGGAAUACCGAUGGCGAAGGCAGCCCCCUGGGAUGAUACUGACGCUCAUGCACGAAAGCGUGGGGAGCAAACA